CGUCAUGCUUAACACAUACAAGUCGGGUGGAAUUAGUGUUUCCCGUGGCAAAUGGGUGAGUAAUGCGUAAGAACAUGCCCUUGAGAGGGGAACAAUGAGUGGAAAUGGUUACUAAUACCCCCUCAUGCAGAAUUGUGCAUGAAGGAUUUUGUCUGAGGAAGGACUUGUGUCUGAUUAGCUAAUUGGUGAGGCAAUAGCUUAUUGAGAUCAUGAUCAAUAGGCAAUUCGAGAAAAUGAUUAACUCCACUAGGACUGAGAUAUGACCUAGACUCUUGUGAGAAACAACAAUGGAAAUUCUUUUGCAAUGAGCAAAAGCCUAAUGGAGCAAUGUCG
rnacentral:rRNA from 1 species